AUCUUCAUCUUGGCGGCCACCCGGGCCACCUUGCCUUGCCGUGGAUCGUUGUUUGUAUUAUUUGUGCUUUUUAAGAAUAUUUUUUUAAUUCGGGUACUUUUAUAAUAGCUUUAAUAGUAUUAUUAACAUAAUGCAUAAAAUGGUGUCCUGUUUUUAACGCAGUUGGAGUAGCAGAAACAAAUGUAGAUAAAAAAAUCUGCAGGAAUAACGUUUCAAUUAUGACAGAAGCUCGAAACAAAUGACUGAAUGAAAAGCCCUAUUAAAAGGUUAGUAUGCAAAUAUGUAAACAAAGGCAUGUCCUGUAUUUCAGAAAAUAAAUUAAUACUAUUAAUACCCUAAUAAUACUAUUCAUAAAAAAUCUUUUAAGUAACGUAGAUAUAACAAAGUGAAUAAAAGGCAUAAAUCAGAAGAAUUAUUAUUUUAUUUUAUAAGUUAAUUAUUGGUCAUAUCCAUUUAUUAUUUUAAUAUUAAUUGUGAAUAAGCCACAAACUUCACUUAUUCCUAACUAAAACAGUAAAUAGAGAUAAUAACAAAAGGAUUUGUAAAACUAAAAUAAUUCUUUUUGCGUUUUUGCUAAUGUAUGCGUUUAUAAAUAGGAUGGUAGACCACACACUAUAAUAUGCAGUACCAACUAAUGAAUACACAGAAUAUUAUAGUCGAUUUGCUAAACUCAGUCUCGGUACUACUGAGUCUCAGACACAACUGGCUAGUGAUUUUAGUAAAUAAUUUUGCCAAUUUGGUAAAAUUGGCAAAAAAAAUAAUAACUAAAUAGUUAAUAAUUACUGUAAUUUUGGCAAAAUUGGCCAAAAAUAAAAAAAAUUACCUACUAAAAUCACUAGCCAGUUUUUUGUGAGUUCAUUAAUCAUAUUUUUUAUUUAAAACUAAAAUUUGUUAAUAGUGCUUAGUAAUGCAUAUAUUUUGUAUUUUUAGCUUUCCAGAAGAUCCUGCGAAGAAGAUAUGAAGUAUAGAUCAGAUUUGUUAAUAGAGGAGUAUGUUCAAAACACUUUUUAGAAAAAGAUAUUGACAGAACUUCACUUUCAUCUGUUCGUUUGAGAGACUGUGCUGUUCCAAUAGCUUAUGUCACACAGAAUCAGCUGAGAGAAGUGGUCUACAAAAAACCAGAAAGGAAACGGAAUAUGUGGCUACGAAAAGCAAAAGAAAGGUUUACAAAGCAAAUGUGACACAUUUUUUUAUAAUAUUUAGGAAUGUCAGUAAAUUACAUUAAAAAAUGUAUGUAAAGAUUUUUUGCAAUAAAAAUGUUUAUAUUU